rnacentral:rRNA from 1 species
CGUAACAAGGUAGCUGAAGGUGAACCUGCUGCUGGAUCAUUA